rnacentral:rRNA from 1 species
AUUGAACGCUGGCGGCAUGCUUUACACAUGCAAGUCGAACGGUAACAGGCCGCCAGGUGCUGACGAGUGGCGAACGGGUGAGUAAUGCAUCGGAACGUGCCCAGUCGUGGGGGAUAACUACUCGAAAGAGUAGCUAAUACCGCCUACGAUCUAUGGUUGAGAGCGGGGGACCGUACGGCCUCGCGCGAUUGGAGCGGCCGAUGUCAGAUUAGGUAGUUGGUGGGGUAAAGGCUCACCAAGCCAACGAUCUGUAGCUGGUCUGAGAGGACGACCAGCCACACUGGGACUGAGACACGGCCCAGACUCCUACGGGAGGCAGCAGUGGGGAAUUUUGGACAAUGGGCGCAAGCCUGAUCCAGCAAUGCCGCGUGCAGGAAGAAGGCCUUCGGGUUGUAAACUGCUUUUGUACGGAACGAAACGGCUCUGGUUAAUACCCGGGGCUAAUGACGGUACCGUAAGAAUAAGCACCGGCUAACUACGUG